rnacentral:rRNA from 1 species
UACAGAGGUCUCAAGCGUUGUUCGGAAUCACUGGGCGUAAAGGGUGUGUAGGCUGCGUGUUAAGUCAGAUGUGAAAUCCCGGGCUCAACCUCGGAACUGCAUCCGAUACUGGCAUGCUAGAGAAUUGGAGAGGAGUCUAGAAUUCACGGUGUAGCAGUGAAAUGCGUAGAUAUCGUGAGGAAUACCCAAGUGCGAAGGCAGGACUCUGGACAUUUUCUGACGCUGGAGACACGAAGGCUAGGGGAGCAAACGGG